CUUGCACGCUGGCGGCAGGCCUAACACAUGCAAGUCGAGCGGAUGAAGGGAGCUUGCUCCUGGAUUCAGCGGCGGACGGGUGAGUAAUGCCUAGGAAUCUGCCUGGUAGUGGGGGAUAACGUCCGGAAACGGGCGCUAAUACCGCAUACGUCCUGAGGGAGCAAGUGGGGGAUCUUCGGACCUCACGCUAUCAGAUGAGCCUAGGUCGGAUUAGCUAGUUGGUGGGGUAAAGGCCUACCAAGGCGACGAUCCGUAACUGGUCUGAGAGGAUGAUCAGUCACACUGACACUGAGAAUCGGUCCAGACUCCUACGGGAGGAAGCAGUGGGGAAUAUUGGACAAUGGGCGAAAGCCUAAUCUUGCCAUGCCGCGUGUGUGCAGAUGGUCUUCGGCUUGUUAAGCGCUUUAAGUUUGGAGGAAGUGAAGUACGUUAAUACCUUGCUGUUUUGACGUUACCAACAGAAUAAGCACCGGCUAACUUCGUG
rnacentral:rRNA from 1 species